rnacentral:tRNA from 1 species
GCCGUGGUGCGAGACCACUGACAACAAAACCCCACGUAAAAACCGGUGACACGCCGGAUGAGUUCCCUCCGGAGGCAGGUGUCGCAGGUUCGAAUCCUGCCGAGGGCG